rnacentral:rRNA from 1 species
UACGUAGGGGGCUAGCGUUGUCCGGAAUCAUUGGGCGUAAAGCGCGUGUAGGCGGUCCGGUAAGUCCGCUGUGAAAGUCGGGGGCUCAACCCUCGGAUGCCGGUGGACACUGUCGGGCUUGAGUACGGAAGAGGCGAGUUGAAUUCCUGGUGUAGCGGUGAAAUGCGCAGAUAUCAGGAGGAACACCAAUUGCGAAGGCAGCUCGCUGGGACGUUACUGACGCUGAGACGCGAAAGCGUGGGGAGCAAACAGG